GAGAGAGAGAGAGAGAGAGAGAGAGAGAGAGAACUGAUAUCAAAAGUUAGAGGUUACAGGAAGAGAGAGAGAUAAAGGUCAACUAAAGGUAACUGGGAUCAAACAUCAGAGAGGUUACUGUUACAUCAACAGGAUAGUUGACUGACUGAACAAGCAGCAUGUCUAAACCAUCGUCCAACGUCAAAGCCCUGCAGGCAAAUCUAAAUAUUCCGAUGGGAGCGCUGCGUCCAGGUGCGGGACAUCCUGUCAAGAGGAGAGAGGAUACUGUAGACACAGAGGAGGCUCCUCCCCCAGACCCCCUGCAGGAAGCCACGGCCCUGUCGCCAGAAGAGAAGAAGCCAUUGCCAGGAUCGAUGAAGCUUCCUGGUCCAGCAGUCAACCUAUCAGAGCUGCAGAACGUCAAGAGUGAACUACGAUGGGUCACCAAGGACUAACACACACACUGCGGUGUUUCCCAACUUCUCCUCCAGUACUGAAUCAGGUGUGCUUGUCCAGGGAUACAAUAAAAUGUGUACUGUUGGGGAUACUCAAGGAGUACUACAGGUUUCUCAUCAGACCCACACCCACCCUGCAUCUUCUACUGAUGGACUACAACUACCACACCCACCCUGCAUCUUCUUCUGAUGGACUACAACUACCACACCCACCCGGCAUCUUCUACUGAUGGACUACAACUACCACACCCACCCUGCAUCUUCUACUGAUGAACUACAAAUACCAGACCCAACGUAAAUCAUCAACUGAUAGACGACAACUAUACCAGACUACACCUAACCCUAUCAGCUACAGACAACUAUACCAGACGACACCUAACCCUAUCAGCUACAGACAACUACACCAGACUACACCUAACCCUAUCAGCUACAGACAACUAUACCAGACUAUACCUAACCCUAUCAGCUACAGACAACUACCAACAGACUAUACUUGACCCUAUCAGCUACAGACAACUAUAUCAGACUACACCUAACCCUAUCAGCUACAGACAACUAUACCAGACUACACCUAACCCUAUCAGCUACAGACAACUCCACCAGACGAGUGACCUGCAAUAGGCCAUCUACUUCAACAAACCCAUAACUGGUUUAAUUUCCCAUGCAGUGAAGUUAGGGUUAGGGAUAGACUGAAUUGAAGUGAACUAAAUUUAACAAUAAUACAUCCAGCCCUGGUAGCUAUAGGUCUGUAUCUGGUGGACUGAUGUCAUCAGAAUGUGUAUGGUGGGCUGUGAUGUCAUCAGAAUGUGUAUGGUGGGUUGUGAUGUCAUCAGAAUGUGUAUGGUGGGUUGUGAUGACAUCAGAAUAUUGUGAUGUUUUAAUUGUUUGAAAUUCCCUUAUAGUCAAAAUGGUUUCUAGGAGAUGAUGGAUUCCUCAGCAACUGUUGCAAUAAAUUAUAUCUUGAUUCUA